AGAAAUAUGCGCUUAAGUCCUGAAGGGCAGUCUGGACAGUACAGACAGCAGAGUGUUUGCUGUUAUUCAAUAUUGACAGUAAGGGAGUGGGAGCGGUGAAAUGUAGCUUUAAAUUUCUGGCUGAGGCAUUUGGUGGAUAUUAAUUCUAUCCAGAGAGAUAGGGGACAUGGAUGAAACUGUAAAGUUGGGUGAAGAAGGAACUGGCUCAGUUUAGGUCAUGUGGAGUUUGAUUCAUACAGAUGGAGAUUCACACUGGCAGUUAAAUUUGUAAAGCUUGAUUUCUCAGAUGGGGAACCUGGAGCAUAGAGGGGGAAGCCACAGUUUCUUCAUUUACAAGGAUUACAGUCACCUUGCCAAUGAGUCACCAAAGCAAGCAAGCAGUCCCAUCUGAUGUGCAAAAGGCAGACGUGAAGGCAGGUGCUGGAGCUGAGAGCACAUAGAAGGGGCACCCAGCCCAGGAAAGCGAUAUUCACAGGAAGAAUUAAGGACGGUGUAACAGAUCACCUGAGAAGCAGGGAAGAUUAGAUUUUAAAUGAUGAUGGAAGAACACUCAGCAUAUUCUGGAUAUUAGAGAACUGAGGAAAUAAAGACAUGAGUCAACUUCCCAGCAAUGGGCCCAUCCAGGGUAAACUAGACAUCUAUUCAUCAGAGAGAAGAGGUGAUGAUGCAUUGCUGCCCCCACUUCUCAACAAACUCGGCAACUGAUUCAUGGCUAUGGGAUGAAAUCCAAAAACCUAGGGGAUUCUCAUUCUUGAAAGAAUAAGGAGCCUCUAACCCCCAGGUCAUGGACCAGUACCAGUGCGUGGCCUGUUAGGAACCAGGCUGCACAGCAGGAGCCAACCACUGGAAAGCCAUAAAGAGUAGACUUUGCUUGGAUUGGAAAAGAAAAUGUGAUACAUAUGCACCAUGGAAUACUAUGCAGCCAUAAAGAAGAAUGAAAUAAUGUCCAUUGCAGCCACAUGGAUGCAGCUGGAGGCCACUAUUGAUCCCAGGGUACGGCUGCAAAAGGAGUCUCAGAAGAUGACUUACUGAAAUCAAGAGCUUGGAUGCCCUUCUCCUUCUGCCCUUGGAUGUCAGAAUUCCAGUUCCUCUGGCUUUUGGACUGUAGGACUCACACCAGCAUUCCCUGUCCCUACCACCUCCACCACCCACCAGCUUUCAGGCCUUUGGCCUGAGACUGAGAGUUACACCAUCGGCUUCCUUGGUUCUGAGGCCUUCAUAUCCGGACUGAACCAUGCAACUGCCUUUCCUGGUUCUCCAGCUUGCAGUCGGCCUGUUGUGACACCUCUCAGCCUUCCUUACAAACCAUGUAGGACAUGUCUGCUUCCUCUUCACCUUCUGCCAUGAUUGUAAGUUUCCUGAGGCCCCCCAGCGAUGCUUCCGGUACAGUCUGUGUAACUGAGGCUAGAAAUCAAAAUUUGGCUCUACAGGCCCAUGAUAUUCCCUCUCUGAUCUACUUCUCUGGACAUCUGGGUUUCCUGUGGAUUGCGUUCAAUCAGCAAUGUUGAGGAAACUGAAUAAAGGAAAACAUGGACAACCUGAAAUGCAGAAACAUGACAUAUUUUCUCAUGAGGACAGUGUGGCCCAGGAGAAAGAGGGAACUUCCAGCAUCUAUGAGGAAACAGAAUUUCUUUUGAUCACAGAAGAAAAGAGAAGAAUAUUAACCAUGGAGUGUCCACCAGUGAGAGAGUUUCUGUGCAUUAGUUCUUGGAGGGACAGAGAACCUUGGUCAGAGAGAACAGACUGGAAGUAACUGGGUGUGGUUUUCCUGCUGCCCCAGCCUUGGGCUCAGCACCAGAUCUCCUAUCUGGUGGCUGCACCAUAAGUCCCAGUCUUCCCAGAGGUAAAGAAAGAACAGACAGUUCUAGACCCUAUAAAACAAAGCAGAUGUCAGGGUGCUUACAAAGUCUAGUGCCCACAGGGCCAGGCAGGUCAAUGUGUGUGAGUAUGGCACACUGAAAGCAUAUAUUAUGCAAAAGGAGACUGCUCACACUCAGCUGCAACUCCUUGUUGCCAUAUCAAAUAGUGAGAAAGUGUGUGCAUGCGGGUGUGGUGUGUGCAUGUGUGUGAUACCUGUUAGGAGUUGCUGGCAGUGGGGCAAUCAGGGCAUGCGUGGGAGCAGGAGCAGAGGGAGCAGUGAUAAAUAACCCCCUGCCCUCAAUUAGAGGUGACUGUCUGCACUGGAUCCUUCCCAGGCCUGCUCAGUCUAGACAGUGCCACCACAGUGCCACCAAGAGUUAACAUCCUUCCCAGGCUUCACUGUGUCUCCCUCUGGGUGUUAGAGGGCAAAUCUGUAGAAAUAAUAAGUUUCUCAGAGCCAAACGCAUGCCUCUGUUUCAAAGGGACUCCCCAGGCCAACCCUGAUGGGGCCAAGCAAAAUACUUCCGAGCUGGGUGUGCUCUGUAGCUGCCAGUUUGAGUCUUCUCCUCUUAAGGAAAGGAAAUCUGUUCAAAAUCAGUUUCUAAGGCAAUGCUUUACCCUUAUUUCAAACAGUUUUUUUUUUUUUUGCUUCCUUCUUUUCUUUCUUCUUCUUCUGAGAAAAUAAGUUUUCCUUUCUUCUAAUGUCUCCUAAUCCUAAAUCAGUAACUGUAGUCCCACUGAACUGGGUAGAAGAAACAGAAGCUUUUGCUCUUACAGCAAAUGGGACAGGCUAAUUUUUGGCAUAGGCAGGAAAAGAUGAAGCUGGCAAUUAUUUGUUCUGAGGAACUCAAGCUGUCAGUCUCUCACAUACUUUGAUACUUUAGAAAUGAUCACUAAACUCUUUUCAAAUUUGCUUUUGUAUCCUACACCCUGAAGUGAUGGCUGCUGACAGCAGAGUUUAGAAUCUUGGGACUACAGAGGAUGCCUUUGUCUCUGUACCCUUGUCAUUUCCUGGAAGAAGGGGAGUCAUCCCCAUGAGUCUCCUGCAGAGGUGGCCAGAGAUAAACACUAGCUGAACACAACUGCACUGUCCCUGGCAUUUGGGGCCUCUCAGAAUGAGGUUUCUUGUCAACUGGGAGAGCCCUGGUACUCCAUUCCCAGGAUCAGCCAUCAGGGUGCAGACAUUGCAGGUCAAAACGUCAUCUCAGACUUUACCCUCCAACCAUUGAGAAAACAUCUCUGCUUAGUGCCAGAGAUAGCCCCACCUAACUUGGUGGAAGUAGCAGUAACGAAGUAUAAACACACCUCCUUCUCCCAGACGCUCAGGGCUCUGUUUACAGAUUAAAUCUCAGGAUGUGUAUAUUCGACGUUCUUAUUCCAGGAUAUUAAUGGCAAAAUGAACUUGUCUGGUGAUGGCUCCGUCACAUUAAUGUCUGAUGGACGGUUCGGAUGUGAAAGGUGCAUUAAGGCCUGCUGAGGGCCCUGCGUGUGUGAGUCAGGAAUGUGACUGCAAGGCUGGAAUGUGAGCUUGUUUAGAGUGAACCCAAAUGGAGUCGAUUUAACCCUGCAGGAGUCGAGUCAUCUGAAAUACCACAGCCCCAGAAGGCAGAGUCUUGAUAAAUAGAAGGAAAUGUGCAAAAUAUUUAUCUUUCGAUUCUUAAUCUGCCUAAUGUAGUCUAGCGGCAUUUCUAGGAAGCUUUGUGGGUUUUAACCAUUAUCUCAAAAUUUAUAGUUAGCUCAGAGGUCAACUGGAAACAUGGCUCUGCAGGUUCCUAAAGUCUGUUUAAAUCUCCCAGAGGUAUCCGGGUUGUCUCCUGCCUGGAGAAAUCUGGAGAGAAUUCUUACAGAAGGUGAUGGGUGUGUCUGGGCUAUGGAGCAUCUCUUGGAUUUAUUGAAUAUUUAGCAAGCAUCUAUAAUGUGCCCAUCACUGAGCUAGGCAGAGAAAGGGAGAAACACAUAUUUUGGUUCUGGAGCUUGUGUGUAGUCUGAUUGGGAGGUGAGAUAGACCCCAGGAAACAAGUAUAGAACGAAAUAGAGCAAUUAAGCCCAAGGUCUUGGGGUAUGGGACAAGACAGCCAGACAUUGAAGGAACCACUAAGAUUUAUCAAUGUUCUUUCUCCUCCAUCACAGGGUGUGUUGGCAGCUUCAAAAUAUGAGCCUUGAAUGACUCUAGUUGAGAACAUAGUGAAAGCCAUCGUAUAACAUGCAAAAGCAAAAGUGUUUUGUGUCUCUUCACAUGCCAUGUUGAGCGUAUGUGUGUUGGUAUCCAGGGUGGCUGGGAAAAGAGAGUGAAAGUGGGUGGAUUCCCUUCUCUCUUCCCCUCUGUCUCUUCUUCCAUCUUUCAUCCUUGCCUCACAUCCUACCCACAGUCCUUUGUAGAUGACAGAAGCCACAGAGCUGAGGAAGGAGGGACAGCUGGGGGUGCCACUAUGAUUUCUGCCACCUGAUUCAUCCUUAAACAUCAAGAAGCUGACUUUCCUAGUGCCUUGGUGGAGGACAUGGUAGCUCCUCCAGGUCCUACUGAGAAUACUCCAAAGUCCAAAAUUAACCAAUCCUGAUUCCUAAAACAGGUAAAAAAGAACAGUUCUGAUGAAAAGGAUUUGGGGUGUUUUCUUUUUCUUUUUCAACUUUGAUUUUAGAAUCAGGGGUACAUGUGCAGGUUUAUUACAAAGAUCUGUUGUGUAAUGCUGAGGUUUGGAGUAUAAUUGAUCCUGUCACUCAGUACUGAGCACAGUACCCAACAGUUUGUUUCCACCCUCCCCACCCUGCUCCCCACUUUUGUAUUCUCCAGUGUCUAUUGUUCUUAUCUUUAUGUCCAUGUGUGCCCAAUGUUUAGCUUCCAUUUAUAAGUGAGCAUAUUUGGUUUUUCUGUUUCUGCGUUAGUUUGCUUAGAAUAAUGGCUUCCAGCUGUGUCCAUGUUGCUGCAAAGGAAAUGAUUUCAUUCUUUUUUAUGGCUGUGUAGUACUCCAUGGUGUAUAUGGACCACAUUGACUUAAUUGAAUCCACCAUUGAUGGGCACCUGGGUUGAUUCCAUGUCUGAAAAGAUUUAAGUUUUAAAAAAUUGUUAUAAAAAGCCACCUUCUUUUUUUGAAUCUUGCUUUAUAACUAGUACAAAGCAAACAUCAGAUACCUGUGUAUAUUUAUACAAUUUUAGUCAUUUUCAGAAUAUUUAACUGAAUAUAAAACUGUUUUUAAAAGAACAUUUUAUUUUCUAAAAGUUAGUCUUUUUGUAUCAUGGACAUAUAAAAAAUAACAAAACUAUUUCAGCUCUUUAAAAGCUCAUUUCAAUAAAAACAAAAAAGGAAGCGCCAGCUUCAUGUUCAUUUCAGUGGCCACUAAUCCAGCCAACACAUACUGAAUGCCCCUGAGUGCCUAACACAGUGUUAGAUACUAAUGGCAAAGGGGUGAAUCAGAUGUGGUCCCUGCCCUUUGAAACUAACUUGCUUUUCAAGAGGCUGUAACUGAGGAACACUCUCUAUGGGCAGCUCUUUGGUAGCACAGAGUUCCCCAGGAAGCACUAUAUAACAUCUCCCAUCCCUGCUCCAUCAUGACUCAUACGAAAAACUUCUAGGCUGAAUUCUGUCAGGAAAAAAAAAAGAAAGAAAAGGAAAAUGAUAAGUAAAUACAUUUGACAAUAAAUUUGAGAUCAUAAACCUUGGGAUUCUUUUUAUAAUACCACGCACUUCAAAAUCAGGCAGUAUUUUUCAUUUGACGUGGAUUUAAAGGUAGCUCAAAGAAAACACAGGAUUAACCAUAAGUAGUGGGAUAGUAAGUGUGAGCCAAGCUUCCAAAUAAACACAUCAGAGACUUGGGCUAAAAAAAGACAGAACACAAAUAACCUCCUCUUGAUGUGCCUACAGUUUCAUUUAACUGUUCCCAGGUCAUGAACUAAUUUACCAAAAAGAGGUUAACUCCAGUGCAACCAAACGGCAU